rnacentral:rRNA from 1 species
AAAGAAACUAACAAGGAUUCCCCUAGUAACGGCGAGUGAAGAGGGAAGAGCUCAAAUUUGAAAGCUGGUACCUCCGGUAUCCGCGUUGUAACCUCGAGACACGUUUUCCGUGCGGCGCUAUGGACAAGUUCCUUGGAACAGGACAUCGUAGAGGGUGAAAAUCCCGUACUUGCCAUGGAUGUACCGUGCUUUGCGAUACGUGCUCUAAGAGUCGAGUUGUUUGGGAUUGCAGCUCAAAAUGGGUGGUAGACUCCAUCUAAAGCUAAAUAUCGGGGAGAGACCGAUAGCGAACAAGUACCGUGAGGGAAAGAUGAAAAGCACUUUGGAAAGAGAGUUAAAAGUACGUGAAAUUGUCGAAAGGGAAGCGCUUGAAGUCAGCCAUGCCGCUCAGGACUCAGCCUGGCUUUUGCUUGGUGUAUUUCCUGGGUAGCAAGUCAGCAUUGGUUUGGAUCGUCGGAGAAGCAUAGUCGGAAUGUGGCGCCCUCGGGCGUGUUAUAGCCUUCUAUUGGAUACGACGAUCUAGACCAAGGAACGCAGCGCGC